rnacentral:lncRNA from 1 species
AUUGGCAAUGGUGCUACAAAUGGUUUCUUGAAUUGGUGAUGAAAUGGUAUUUUAGGAAUAUACUUUUUGAACAAGGGCUUUGGUUUCAAAAGUUCUUCAGAUUCAACUGUAGGGACUGGCUUUUUCACAGUAAAUGGUUUUGGAAUAGGUUUAAGAAUUGGAAUUGGCUUAACAAUGGGAACUAGCUUAGGUUUAAGAAUAGGAAUUGGCUUAACAAUGGGAACUAUCUUUGGUAGAGGCUUAACAACUGGAAUAUAAAUAGGCUUAACAACUGGAAUUACCUUUGGUAUUGCCUUAAUUUUGGGAAUAGGUUUUGGGAAAAGACCUUUGAAUUUUACUUCUUCACUGGGAAUUGGCUUUAUGUCUGGAAUUGGUUUUGGUGUGGGCUUAAUGGAAAUUGAUUUUGGUACAGGCUUAUUAAAAACUGGAAUAGGAAUAGGUUUAAUAACAGGAACUGGCUUUGGAAUAGGUUUGAUAACAGGAAUUGGUUUUAGAAUAGGUUUAAUAACAGGAAUUGGCUUUAGAAUAGGUUUAACAACAGGAACUGGCUUUGGAAUAGGUUUAAUAACAGGAAUUGGCUUUAGAAUAGGUUUAACAAAUGGAAUUGGUUUAGUAAACAAUCCUUUGAAUUUUGAUUCUUCAUCAUGGCCUUCUGCAUUAUUCCCAUACUUGUUCACUUCAUUGCCUACAUAAGAAAUGC